GAAAGGUUCUGCACAAGAGAGGCAGUGUUUGAAUGUUGCCUCACAGAGUAAGUUCCACAAGGGUGUCCUGCUCACCACCAUGCCCCCAGGGUCUGAGGCUGGGCCUAGCACACAGCAGUACAGACAACAAGGAGUGAGUAUCUGUUGAACAAAUGGGUGAAUGCCGGCAGCAGAGCCCUCAGUGGGAACAUCCACCUAUCAAUCCCAGUGCAGCUGCAGCUGGUGCAAUGAGGAGGAAGAGAGGUCUCCUGAGAUCCCACCUCUCCCCCAGGUGCCCACCCUUUGCAUCCCAAAGACCCCCACCCCCACCCUUAGCUGAAAAAAUGGACUCAGGGGAGCAGGCAGAGUAACGUACUAAUGUUUUUAAUACAGUCUGAUCAGAUCAAUUCACAGCACCAGGUCACCCUGGGCCUGCUCACACGUGACACAGCCGAGGUACACAACAAUGUCCCCACCUGCCAGCUCUCCUGCCUUCCUGGCUACCAACAACACUGAAACCCGCUACUUCCCUGACCAGACUGGCAUUUUUAAAAUUUUGCAUAAAACUAUUUCUUCCAUAGACUUCAAACAAUCAACUAGCCAAGUUAAUUAUGGUACAUCUAAACAAAGUUUAAUACUAACCCUAACGUGU